rnacentral:lncRNA from 1 species
AUAAGUGAUGAGGCUCCACAGCCCCAACAGGAACCAAUAUAAUGGCAGGUGCGCCGGGUCAGCUGGAGAGACAGAUAGCAGGACGCGGGAGUGACAGGCGGUGCAAUUAUGCUGAGCCUCCUGCAAAGGCGGCAGAGAAGGCCCCGCCUGGCCAGCAUGGCCCGCAGCCUCCCCACUCCCUCCCACAGGCCUUCCAGCCCCACCAGCCCCCAGCCCCACUCCAAGCAGGCACCCACAAAUGGCUGGACAUCAAGAGGAGCAUGUCAGAGGAGGAGCACGCGGGCUGCUGGAUGUCGAGAGGAAUGUACCGAUAGUCCCUGGCAUGAUGGCAGGCCAUCGACCAUCGACCAGCUGAACUAGCAGAGUUUGGCUGAGGCAGAGUUUGGCUGGGAAGUCAGAGGAGAGUGGCCCAACUGCAGGGGAAAACCAUCCCCCUUCUGGCUCCCCCAUCUGCUGAGGGCUACUUCCACUCAAUAAAACCUUGCACUCAUUCUCCAAA